GAUGAACGCUAGCUACAGGCUUAACACAUGCAAGUCGAGGGGCAGCAUGGUCUUAGCUUGCUAAGGCCGAUGGCGACCGGCGCACGGGUGAGUAACACGUAUCCAACCUGCCGUCUACUCUUGGACAGCCUUCUGAAAGGAAGAUUAAUACAAGAUGGCAUCAUGAGUCCACAUGUUCACAUGAUUAAAGGUAUUCCGGUAGACGAUGGGGAUGCGUUCCAUUAGAUAGUAGGCGGGGUAACGGCCCACCUAGUCUUCGAUGGAUAGGGGUUCUGAGAGGAAGGCCCCCCACAUUGGAACUGAGACACGGUCCAAACUCCUACGGGAGGCAGCAGUGAGGAAUAUUGGUCAAUGGGCGAGAGCCUGAACCAGCCAAGUAGCGUGAAGGAUGACUGCCCUAUGGGUUGUAAACUUCUUUUAUAAAGGAAUAAAGUCGGGUAUGGAUACCCGUUUGCAUGUACUUUAUGAAUAAGGAUCGGCUAACUCCGUGCCAGCAGCCGCGGUAAUACGGAGGAUCCGAGCGUUAUCCGGAUUUAUUGGGUUUAAAGGGAGCGUAGAUGGAUGUUUAAGUCAGUUGUGAAAGUUUGCGGCUCAACCGUAAAAUUGCAGUUGAUACUGGAUAUCUUGAGUGCAGUUGAGGCAGGCGGAAUUCGUGGUGUAGCGGUGAAAUGCUUAGAUUUCACGAAGAACUCCGAUUGCGAAGGCAGCCUGCUAAGCUGCAACUGACAUUGAGGCUCGAAAGUGUGGGUAUCAAACAGGAUUAGAUACCCUGGUAGUCCACACGGUAAACGAUGAAUACUCGCUGUUUGCGAUAUACAGCAAGCGGCCAAGCGAAAGCGUUAAGUAUUCCACCUGGGGAGUACGCCGGCAACGGUGAAACUCAAAGGAAUUGACGGGGGCCCGCACAAGCGGAGGAACACGUGGUUUAAUUCGAUGAUACGCGAGGAACCUUACCCGGGCUUAAAUUGCAGAUGAAUUACGGUGAAAGCCGUAAGCCGCAAGGCAUCUGUGAAGGUGCUGCAUGGUUGUCGUCAGCUCGUGCCGUGAGGUGUCGGCUUAAGUGCCAUAACGAGCGCAACCCUUGUUGUCAGUUACUAACAGGUUCCGCUGAGGACUCUGACAAGACUGCCAUCGUAAGAUGUGAGGAAGGUGGGGAUGACGUCAAAUCAGCACGGCCCUUACGUCCGGGGCUACACACGUGUUACAAUGGGGGGUACAGAGGGCCGCUACCACGCGAGUGGAUGCCAAUCCCAAAAACCUCUCUCAGUUCGGACUGGAGUCUGCAACCCGACUCCACGAAGCUGGAUUCGCUAGUAAUCGCGCAUCAGCCACGGCGCGGUGAAUACGUUCCCGGGCCU
rnacentral:rRNA from 1 species